rnacentral:rRNA from 1 species
CCCUUAGAUGUUCUGGGCAGCACGCGCGCUACAAUGGUCUUCGCAAACGGAUGCAUUCUCGAAGGAGAAUGCCAAUCUUGGAAUCUAUGCCUUGGUCGGGACAGUUGCUUGCAAUUUUUCGACUCGAACCAGGAAUGCCUUGUAAUCGUGAUUCAUCACAUCACGAUGAAUACGUCCCUGCCCUUUGUACACACCGCCCGUCGCUCCUACCGAUCGAAGAGUUAGGUGAAUUGUUUUGAUCGAUAAGAUUUGACUAUGGUCAACUCUCGUUGUGAAAUUCUGUGAAUCUGACUGUUUAGAGGAAGGAAAAGUCGUAACA